rnacentral:rRNA from 1 species
CCCUUAGAUGUUCUGGGCCGCACGCGCGCUACACUGACGAAUGCAACGAGCUUAUAACCUUGGCCGAAAGGUCUGGGUAAUCUCCAAAUUUCGUCGUGAUGGGGAUAGAUUAUUGCAAUUAUUAAUCUUCAACGAGGAAUGCCUAGUAAGCGCAAGUCAUCAGCUUGCGUUGAUUACGUCCCUGCCCUUUGCACACACCGCCCGUCGCUCCUACCGAUUGAAUGGUCCGGUGAAGCGCUCGGACCGCGGCCUCUUGACGGUUCGCUGUCGAUUGGCUGUGGGAAGUUCGUUAAACCUUAUCAUUUAGAGGAAGGAGAAGUCGUAACA